UACGUAGGGUCCGAGCGUUGUCCGGAAUUAUUGGGCGUAAAGGGCUCGUAGGCGGUUUGUCGCGUCGGGAGUGAAAACUCAGGGCUUAACCCUGAGCCUGCUUCCGAUACGGGCAGACUAGAGGUAUGCAGGGGAGAACGGAAUUCCUGGUGUAGCGGUGAAAUGCGCAGAUAUCAGGAGGAACACCGGUGGCGAAGGCGACUACCUGGCCCAUUCUUGACGCUGAGGCGCGAAAGCUAGGGGAGCGAACGGG
rnacentral:rRNA from 1 species